rnacentral:rRNA from 2 species
UCCGGUGGCAAUGGCGUAAAGGUAACACUCCUUUCCAUACCGAACAGGCAGGUUAAGCUUUAUAGCGCUGAUGGUACUGCAGGGGCAGCCUUGUGGGAGAGUAAGACGUCGCCGGGU